UACAGAGGGGGCAAGCGUUGUUCGGAAUUACUGGGCGUAAAGGGCGCGUAGGCGGCCUUCUAAGUCGGACGUGAAAUCCCCGGGCUCAACCCGGGAACUGCGUCCGAUACUGGAAGGCUUGAAUCCGGGAGAGGGAUGCGGAAUUCCAGGUGUAGCGGUGAAAUGCGUAGAUAUCUGGAGGAACACCGGUGGCGAAGGCGGCAUCCUGGACCGGUAUUGACGCUGAGGCGCGAAAGCCAGGGGAGCAAACAGG
rnacentral:rRNA from 1 species